UGAAGCACAGGGAGGAUUCCACUCUUGCUGUCUGUGUCCAGUAGGGGCAGUCGGGCUCUGGGUGGCGGGCGGCAGUGCCCCCGUCGGUGAGUGGGGGCCACUGCUACUGCUUCUCCCCCCCCCCCCACAAGAUGUUCUUCCCCUCGAGGAGAAAGACUUGGGAAGAAACGAGCUCUGAGAGCAGGUGGGAGGCCCAGAUGGUCCGUGGGAGGACCUCAGUACUGGUGAGGGGGGCGAGCAGCCCCCAUGAAUGUCCUUGGAGAGGGGGUGGCUCCCGCGAGCAUCCUUUCCCUCCACCAGCCGUGGGCUUUUUGGAGCCGCCUGCCGCUUCCCGCCGGAAAGUGUGCACAGGAUGUAAGAUAAUUUUGUGAAAUAGUGUACCAUAGGCUCACACCAACUGUAUAUACCUGUACAUAUCUGAGGCAGGAAUAAAGUGCCACAUGCAGCAUCUCCAGCCCUCGCCUGGUUCCUGGCAGCAGUGAUCCCAUCCUCGGCUGGGCAGUUGGGCCCCAUCACCAGGGACAUAGUGGCAAAUGAGGCAGCCACAGAAGCACGAGUCCGUUGUAGGAGGCCUGGAAACGAAGUGGUCAAGCCUGAGCUUUGAUUUCUUCAUCUGGCAAAAGGACACGAGAGUAGCACACAAUGAUCCAGGGGGAACCACCUCAGCAAUGGAGAGGGGCAGCACCUGUGUGUGACCUUGAUCUUGGUCCCCCCUUCAUACCCUGCACCUGGGGGAAGAGGGCAGUUUGUGCCAAGCCACAAAGCUACAGGGCAGAAGAGCAUCCUUUUGGGGGUAAGCCCUGUGUUCCUUUUCUUACUUUGGGAGUGGGUUUUUUUUUCUGCAGUCUACAGCCAUUUCUUAGGACAGAUGGGGCUAAGUGGAUCUGUGGGGAUGGGCUAAGAUCAAAGACUCAGGUGAUGCUGAGCGUACAAGGGAAGCAUAAUGAAGGGAACAUCCGAAGCUGUGCUGUGCCAAGCUUGGGGUCCUUUCUGACUCUUUGAAGAUGCCUCUUGUGAUGCACCCCUGUUGUGACUCCUGAAUGUCCUCCUGGGGCUGCGAGAUGCUAUUUGCCAAAAAGGAAUGCAGAAAACCCAGCCUACCCCCCUGAAAACGAGGCAUGGAGACAAAACGCAGUUGGAACCUCGGGGCUGAGGUUUCCAUGGUGGCCCCACUCUGCUGCUCUUCCCAUUGGCCAGGCGUCCUGCUCCAGCUUUAGCAACAGAGGCUCAGAUACCCAUCUCCUUCCUGAUUGGCCAGGCUGUGCUGCAGCGCCAUGGCAACAGGGGCAGAGGGACCAGUCUCUGCAGAACUUGAGUCACCAUCUACCUGGGGUGGAGCUGAGAUCCAGAGGGAUGCAGGGGAUGCAAAGGGAACAGGUAGCCCCCACCUCAGCUCACAGUCAGGUGGGGGACACUCCUCCAUGGGAUGCCCAGGGGUUUGAGAGGCUGGUAGGCUUCAUCUCUUUAUCUCAUCUGUCUUGUAUCUGACAGCAUCUUCCUGGCCCUCUUUUGCCCCAGGGCUCCUGGCUCCUGCAGAAGAAAAACCAAGCCUCUUGCAGUGCCAGAGGUUAACUCGUUUGCCCGGAAUUAUGCACACUGCAAUCUAGAAUUUGAACUCGUAUUAUAUUGCUUAACUUAAAAGCUGUAGAAGGUUUUUGCUAGAGAAUCCAGGUUUUUUUUUUUUUAAAUAGACUUUAUUUUUUAGAACCGUUUUGGGUUCACAGCAUAAUUGAACAGCAGGGACAGAGAUUUCCCAUACCCCUUUCAGUUUUAAUAGUUUUAUUCAUCAGACAGCUAAUGCUUUCCAAAGCAUUCUUAUAUCUGAAACAUUAUCUGAUCUUCCAACUACCCUAUGAGUUGGUAAUUCAGGGAUGAAUGACCCAUUUCAUAGAUGAGGACACCAGAGAGAGCCCAGAGAGGGCAAGUGAUUUAUUCCACAUCACACAACUUAUUAGUGCCAGAGCUGGGCCUCCAACCCUCACCUCCUGAAUCCUUACCAGGG
ensembl:lncRNA